rnacentral:rRNA from 1 species
GACGGAAGGUGCAAGCGUUGCUCGGAAUCAUUGGGCGUAAAGGGUGCGUAGGCGGCUUGGUGGGUCUGGUGUGAAAGCCCCGGGCUUAGCCCGGGAAGGGCGCUAGAAACUGCCGAGCUCGAGUGCCGGAGGGGAGAGUGGAAUUCCUGGUGUAGGCGGUGAAAUGCGCAGAUAUCAGGAAGAACACCCGUAGGCGAAGGCGGCUCUCUGGGACGGUACUGACGCUGAGACGCGAAAGCGUGGGGAGCGAACAGG